rnacentral:rRNA from 1 species
ACGGCUCAGUAACACGUGGACAACCUACCCUCAGCACGGGGAUAAACCCGGGAAACUGGGUAUGAUACCCGAUAGUUCUGGUUAGCUGGAAUGCUUCCAGGACGAAAGCUCCGGCGACUGAGGAUGGGUCUGCGGCCUAUCAGGUAGUAGUGGGUGUAAUGUACCUACUAGCCUACGACGGGUACGGGUCGUGAGAGCGAGAGCCCGGAGAUGGAUUCUGAGACACGAAUCCAGGCCCUACGGGGUGCAGCAGGCGCGAAAACUUUACAAUGCUGGCAACAGCGAUAAGGGGACCUCGAGUGCCAGGAUACAAUCUUGGCUGUCGUAAUGCCUAAAAAGCAUUGCAUAGCAAGGGCCGGGCAAGACCGGUGCCAGCCGCCGCGGUAACACCGGCGGCUCGAGUGGUAACCGCUAUUAUUGGGUCUAAAGGGUCUGUAGCCGGCCGGAUAAGUCUUUUGGGCAAUCCAGCAGCUCAACUGUUGGGCUUUCAGAAGAUACUGUUCGGCUCGAGACCGGGAGAGGUGAGAGGUACUUCAGGGGUAGGGGUGAAAUCUUGUAAUCCUUGAAGGACCACCAGUGGCGAAGGCGUCUCACCAGAACGGAUCUGACGGCAAGGGACGAAAGCUAGGGGCACGAACCGGAUUAGAUACCCGGGUAGUCCUAGCCGUAAACGAUGCUCGCUAGGUGUCGGCCACGGUGCGACCGUGGUCGGUGCCGUAGGGAAGCCGUGAAGCGAGCCACCUGGGAAGUACGGCCGCAAGGCUGAAACUUAAAGGAAUUGGCGGGGGAGCAC